AUUGAACGCUGGCGGCAGGCUUAACACCUGCAAGUCGAGCGAGCGGCGGACGGGUGAGUAAUGUCUGGGACACUGCCUGAUGGAGGGGGAUAACUACUGGAAACGGUAGCUAAUACCGCAUACCAUCAGAUGUGCCCAGAUGGGAUUAGCUAGUCGGUGGGGUAAUGGCUCACCUAGGCGACGAUCCCUAGCUGGUCUGAGAGGAUGACCAGCGACAAUGGAACGGAGACACGGUGCAGACUCCUACGGGAGGCAGCAGUGGGGAAUAUUGCACAAUGGGCGCAAGACUGAUGCAGCCAUGCCGCGUGUGUGAAGAAGGCCUUCGGGUUGUAAAGCACUGUCAGCGAGGAGGCGUUACGCGCAGAAGAAGCACCGGCUAACUCCGUGCCAGCAGCCGCGGUAAUUC
rnacentral:rRNA from 1 species